CAGAAGAUAGUUUAGUUAAAAUACUAGUUUUGGGGAUUAGUGAUAAGGGUUUAAUUCCUUUCUUUUGA
rnacentral:tRNA from 1 species